rnacentral:rRNA from 1 species
AGACGUCUACAUUAGAUACCCGGGUAGUCCCAGCCGUAAACUAUGCGCGUUAGGUGUAUCGGUGACCACGAGUCACCGAGGUGCCGAAGGGAAAUCGUGAAACGCACCACCUGGGAAGUACGGUCGCAAGGCUGAAACUUAAAGGAAUUGGCGGGGGAGCACCACAACAGGUGGAGCCUGCGGUUUAAUUGGAUUCAACGCCGGACAUCUCACCGGAUAAGACAGCUGAAUGAUUGUCAAUCUGAAGGUUUUACAUGACUAGCUG